rnacentral:misc_RNA from 1 species
UAUGGAUCCACCUGUGUGGGUGGACGGUCCAUGAGCAUUUGCAGCACCACGGCGGUUUCUAGAAUAUAUCUCUGACCGUUAAAUGAUCUUGGGGUCAUUCCAGUGCUGCUCAAAUUUUGCCCAAGUUUCUUCAGAAAUAUACAAGGGCCUUUUCCUGAAAAUCUUUAAAUCUGCAAUCAUGUCCUUGUAGCGUACAGCUGCCUUUGAUCUCCAUG